rnacentral:rRNA from 1 species
GACGAACGCUGGCGGCGUGCUUAACACAUGCAAGUCGAACGGAAAGGCCCUGCUUUUGUGGGGUGCUCGAGUGGCGAACGGGUGAGUAACACGUGAGUAACCUGCCCUUGACUUUGGGAUAACUUCAGGAAACUGGGGCUAAUACCGUAUAGGAGCUCCUGCUGCAUGGUGGGGGUUGGAAAGUUUCGGCGGUUGGGGAUGGACUCGCGGCUUAUCAGCUUGUUGGUGGGGUAGUGGCUUACCAAGGCUUUGACGGGUAGCCGGCCUGAGAGGGUGACCGGCCACAUGGGGACUGAGAUACGGCGCAGACUCCUACGGGAGGCAGCAGUGGGGAAUAUUGCACAAUGGGCGGAAGCCUGAUGCAGCAACGCCGCGUGCGGGAUGACGGCCUUCGGGUUGUAAACCGCUUUCGCCUGUGACGAAGCGUGAGUGACGGUAAUGGGUAAAGAAGCACCGGCUAACUACGUG